UGUAUUUACUAUCUAUAAAGUUGUAUGUUUAUUUUCUUUGCAAACAAGUGUUGGAAUAUUGGCUUCUCAUAACUAUGUACAGUAACUUAAGUAUAUUCCCAGGAGACUAUGUGAUCAGCAAUCAUACAAAGUAAUUAAAUGAUGUGUUUUCUUUCAAAUAGAUAGACAAAAGGUGGACCGAUGGCUUCUUGCCACAUCCAUGGCUAUUGCUGGAAGUUGAUUGGAGAUCUUCACGUCCAGAAAUGCUAGUUUUGUAGAUUAGGCAAGUGUAUUCUUCAUUUUCUGCUGCUGUGUGCACAGAGCACAUGUGAAUUCUGCCUGCAUUCAAUUUCAUAAAUUAAUUGAGCAUUCUAAUAAUUGAGACUUGUUUAACUUUUGUAUAGGAAGCAAACAUAAGGACUCGACUCACAAUGAACCAUGAAGCCAGCGAUCUGCAUCAAAUGGAUGUUUUAGUUUUCAUUUUGUACAACUGAUGUCUCAUAGUUGCAGUCUUUUCGCUGUCCUUUGUUGAACCUGAUGUAUGGUGUCUUGGUGGUUAUGUUUGGAACAGACUGAAGUGUAUG
rnacentral:lncRNA from 1 species